rnacentral:rRNA from 1 species
AUUGAACGCUGGCGGCAGGCUUAACACAUGCAAGUCGAGCGAGCGGCGGACGGGUGAGUAAUGUCUGGGAAACGGCCUGAUGGAGGGGGAUAACUACUGGAAACGGUAGCUAAUACCGCAUACAGUCGGAUGUGCCCAGAUGGGAUUAGCUAGUAGGUGGGGUAAUGGCUCACCUAGGCCACGAUCCCUCGCUGGUCUGGGAGGGUGACCAGCGACACUGGAACUGAGACACGGCCCAGUCUCCGACGGUAGGCAGCAGUGGGGAAUAUUCCACAAUGGUCGCAAGCCGGAGGCAGACAUGCCGCGUGUGUGAAGUAGGCCUUCGGGUUGUAAAGCACUUUCAGCGACGAGGCGUUACUCGCAGAAGAAGCACCGGCUAACUCCGUGCCAGCAGCCGCGGUAAUAC